rnacentral:rRNA from 1 species
UUUACUUUAUUAGGAAGAAGAUGAUAAUUUGCUUUUUUAGUGAAGAAGCUAGAAUAUGGUUAUAAGACAAGAAGACCCUUUUGAGCUUUAUUGUUUUUAGGUAUAAUACCUUUAGACAUUUGGUUGGGGCGACCAAGGAAGGUUUAAUCUUCCUUUAUUUAUAUGAUCCAAAGUUUUUGAUUAUUAGAUUAAGUUACCAAAGGGAUAACAGCGUAAUUUUUUUUGAGAGUUCUUAUUAAAAAAAAAGAUUGCGACCUCGAUGUUGACUUAUAAUUUCCUUUUGGUGUAGAAGCUAGAAGGGUUGGUCUGUUCGACCUUUAAAAUUUU